UUUUCUUUUUUUAAAGUCAUUCCUACACUAGCCAAGAUUACAGUACCCAGGGAAAUGUUGGGAAGAUUUCUUUAGAUCAGAUUGAUUUGCUUUCUACCAAAUCCUUCCCACUUUACAUGCAUCAGUUACAUAAAGCCUUGCGGGAAAAUCACCAUCUUUGUCAUGGAGGCCGAAUGCAGUAUGUCCUAUUUCUGAAGGGCAUUGGUUUAACUUUGGAACAGACAUUGCAGUUCUGGAAGCAAGAAUUUAUCAAAGGAAAGAUGGAUCCAGACAAGGAAGAGGAAAAUGAUGAAUAGUAGAAGCUCCACCUGUGAAGAUAAUUUUACCUGCAGCUGAAAUACCAUGACCCAGAUAUUGAACACACAGAAUAAUUAAACUUUUCGUCUAGAAA
rnacentral:lncRNA from 1 species